UUAAGUUAAUAAGGGCGCACGGUGGAUGCCUUGGCACUAGGAGCCGACGAAGGACGUGACAAACGACGAUAUGCCUUGGGUAGCUGUAAGUAAGCGAUGAUCCAGGGAUUUCCGAAUGGGGGAACCCAACAGGUAAUACCUGUUACCUACAUCUGUUAAGGAUGUGAGGAGGAAGACGCAGUGAACUGAAACAUCUAAGUAGCUGCAGGAAGAGAAAGCAAAAGCGAUUGCCUUAGUAGCGGCGAGCGAAACGGCAGAAGGGCAAACCGAAGAGUUUACUCUUCGGGGUUGUAGGACUGCAAUGUGGACUCAAAGAUUAUAGAAGAAUGAUUUGGGAAGAUCAGCCAAAGAGAGUAAUAGCCUCGUAUUUAAAAUAGUCUUUGUACUUAGCAGUAUCCUGAGUACGGCGGGACACGUGAAAUCCCGUCGGAAUCUGGGAGGACCAUCUCCCAACCCUAAAUACUCCCUAGUGACCGAUAGUGAACCAGUACCGUGAGGGAAAGGUGAAAAGCACCCCGGGAGGGGAGUGAAAUAGAACCUGAAACCGUGUGCCUACAACAAGUUCGAGCCCGUUAAUGGGUGAGAGCGUGCCUUUUGUAGAAUGAACCGGCGAGUUACGUUAUGAUGCGAGGUUAAGUUGAAGAGACGGAGCCGUAGGGAAACCGAGUCUGAAUAGGGCGCCUUAGUAUCAUGACGUAGACCCGAAACCAUGUGACCUACCCAUGAGCAGGUUGAAGGUGCGGUAAGACGCACUGGAGGACCGAACCAGGGCACGUUGAAAAGUGCUUGGAUGACUUGUGGGUAGCGGAGAAAUUCCAAACGAACUUGGAGAUAGCUGGUUCUCUCCGAAAUAGCUUUAGGGCUAGCGUCGACAUUAGAGAUUCUUGGAGGUAGAGCACUGUUUGGGUGAGGGGUCCAUCCCGGAUUACCAAUCUCAGAUAAACUCCGAAUGCCAAUGAAUUAUGGUCGGCAGUCAGACUGCGAGUGCUAAGAUCCGUAGUCGAAAGGGAAACAGCCCAGACCACCAGCUAAGGUCCCAAAAUAAUUGUUAAGUGGAAAAGGAUGUGGGGUUGCACAGACAACUAGGAUGUUAGCUUAGAAGCAGCUAUUCAUUCAAAGAGUGCGUAAUUGCUCACUAGUCGAGUGGCCCUGCGCCGAAAAUGUACCGGGGCUAAAACAAUUUACCGAAGCUGUGGAUACCUUUAUAGGUAUGGUAGGAGAGCGUUCUAUGUGUGAUGAAGGUAUACCGUGAGGAGUGCUGGAACGCAUAGAAGUGAGAAUGCCGGUAUGAGUAGCGAAAGACAGGUGAGAAUCCUGUCCACCGUAAGACUAAGGUUUCCAGGGGAAGGCUCGUCCGCCCUGGGUUAGUCGGGACCUAAGGAGAGACCGAAAGGUGUAUCCGAUGGACAACAGGUUGAUAUUCCUGUACUAGAGUAUGUAGUGAUGGAGGGACGCAGUAGGCUAACUAAAGCAGACGAUUGGAAGAGUCUGUCUAAGCAGUGAGGUGUGAAUUGAGUCAAAUGCUUAAUUCUAUAACAUUGAGCUGUGAUGGGGAGCGAAGUUUAGUAGCGAAGUUAGUGACGUCACACUGCCAAGAAAAGCUUCUAGCGUUUAAACAUACUCUACCCGUACCGCAAACCGACACAGGUAGUCGAGGCGAGUAGCCUCAGGUGAGCGAGAGAACUCUCGUUAAGGAACUCGGCAAAAUGACCCCGUAACUUCGGGAGAAGGGGUGCUGACUUAAAGUCAGCCGCAGUGAAUAGGCCCAAGCAACUGUUUAUCAAAAACACAGCUCUCUGCUAAAUCGUAAGAUGAUGUAUAGGGGGUGACGCCUGCCCGGUGCUGGAAGGUUAAGAGGAGUGCUUAGCGUAAGCGAAGGUAUGAAUUGAAGCCCCAGUAAACGGCGGCCGUAACUAUAACGGUCCUAAGGUAGCGAAAUUCCUUGUCGGGUAAGUUCCGACCCGCACGAAAGGCGUAAUGAUUUGGGCACUGUCUCAACGAGAGACUCGGUGAAAUUUUAGUACCUGUGAAGAUGCAGGUUACCCGCGACAGGACGGAAAGACCCCAUGGAGCUUUACUGCAGUUUGAUAUUGAGUGUCUGUACCACAUGUACAGGAUAGGUAGGAGUCUAAGAAAUCGGGACGCCAGUUUCGAAGGAGACGCUGUUGGGAUACUACCCUUGUGUUAUGGCCACUCUAACCCAGAUAGGUGAUCCCUAUCGGAGACAGUGUCUGACGGGCAGUUUGACUGGGGCGGUCGCCUCCUAAAAGGUAACGGAGGCGCCCAAAGGUUCCCUCAGAAUGGUUGGAAAUCAUUCGCAGAGUGUAAAGGUAUAAGGGAGCUUGACUGCGAGAGCUACAACUCGAGCAGGGACGAAAGUCGGGCUUAGUGAUCCGGUGGUUCCGUAUGGAAGGGCCAUCGCUCAACGGAUAAAAGCUACCCUGGGGAUAACAGGCUUAUCUCCCCCAAGAGUUCACAUCGACGGGGAGGUUUGGCACCUCGAUGUCGGCUCGUCGCAUCCUGGGGCUGUAGUCGGUCCCAAGGGGUGGGCUGUUCGCCCAUUAAAGCGGCACGCGAGCUGGGUUCAGAACGUCGUGAGACAGUUCGGUCCCUAUCCGUCGCGGGCGUAGGAAAUUUGAGAGGAUCUGCUCCUAGUACGAGAGGACCAGAGUGGACUUACCGCUGGUGUACCAGUUGUCUUGCCAAAGGCAUCGCUGGGUAGCUAUGUAGGGAAGGGAUAAACGCUGAAAGCAUCUAAGGUGUGAAACCCACCUCAAGAUGAGAUUUCCCAUGAUUAUAUAUCAGUAAGAGCCCUGAGAGAUGAUCAGGUAGAUAGGUUAGAAGUGGAAGUGUGGCGACACAUGUAGCGGACUAAUACUAAUAGCUCGAGGACUUAUCCAA
rnacentral:rRNA from 1 species